rnacentral:snoRNA from 1 species
CUGCAGCCGAUGGAGGCGACUGUGCUCUUCGACCCAGUGUGCCAGGGCCGCAGACAGUAGCCUCCCUGGCAGCGAGUGCAGCCUGUUGAUGGUAUGGGUGCCCCCCCCCACCUCGGGCACAGCC